rnacentral:rRNA from 1 species
UCAGGACGAACGCUGGCGGCGUGCCUAAUACAUGCAAGUCGAACGCACGAAGUUGAAGAGCUUGCUCUUUAACCAAGUGAGUGGCGGACGGGUGAGUAACACGUGGGUAACCUGCCCAUUAGAGGGGGAUAACAUUCGGAAACGGAUGCUAAUACCGCAUAGUUUCAGGAAUCGCAUGAUUCUUGAAGGAAAGGUGGCUUCGGCUACCACUAAUGGAUGGACCCGCGGCGUAUUAGCUAGUUGGUGAGGUAAUGGCUCACCAAGGCAAUGAUACGUAGCCGACCUGAGAGGGUGAUCGGCCACACUGGGACUGAGACACGGCCCAGACUCCUACGGGAGGCAGCAGUAGGGAAUCUUCCGCAAUGGACGAAAGUCUGACGGAGCAACGCCGCGUGAGUGAAGAAGGUUUUCGGAUCGUAAAACUCUGUUGUUAAAGAAGAACAAGGAUGAGAGUAACUGCUC